CUUGAAGAGGAGAGAAACUGAGCCAUGCAGAUAUGUGCAAAGGAAGAACCUUCCAGAAUCACCCUCAUGUACCCCUAUGCUCUGUACAUACCCAGCGCUCUGCACUGAGGCAGACCCUAAAGCUGCAGUGGGAAUGGAGGUAGAUACACUUAUGGAAAGAAAGACUUCUUCAAAGAAUGGUGGCGACCCAGGUCGCCCUUCUGCUGUGGCUCUUAGAGGACCUGGAGUUGGAGAGGGGAAGUCACUGGCAUGUGGAGGAAGACCAAAGUGUGUCCCACCUUCACUCCACCUCUCUGCUCUCUCUCUCCUAUAUUGAGUGCCUCCCUCCCAGAGUUGUGGUCACUGAUAAGGAGGACCCUGAGGGCAACCACACCUUGCCAUGCAGAGCACCUGGCUUCUCACCUGCCAACCUCACUCUGACCUGGCUGCAGGAAGGGAAGGAGCCAACUCUGGACUCAAGAUUCAAGGGGACCAGACCCAGAGAGAUGAGACAUACCAGGGCUGGGCAGCUGUGGGGGUCCUUCCAGAGAGGAGCUGAGAUACACCUACCUGGAGGGGCCCCAGGGCCUGGAGGGGCUCCUCAGUGUGACUGGGGAGCUGUCCUUCCUCCAGGCCCAGGGAAGUGAAAAAAGAAGCAGGAACAGUGAAAUACGCCACAGGAAAGAAAAAUCUUAGUGAUCCCUCCUGCUGUCUCUCUCCUUUUGUCUAUUCUGGCAAAUUUUGUAAGUGAAAUUUGUUACCAAGAUAUGAAAAUCUUAUUAUAAGAAAGUCUGUAAAUAUUUGAGAAUAAAAUGAUCAAUGUCUCAGCUCUGCAGACUGAAAAAACAGAAGCUUUACAAAAUAAAAUCAUGUUUGGAAAACUCUCCUCUGAGGGAUAUCAAAGGCUGCACUGAAUAAGCUCUAAGGAGGUGCUGAAAUGACAGCCAUUUAUUUGCCUGUGUAAGCUCAGGCAGGUGUUGGAAUUGAGGAAGGAUAGGUAAUGAAAAAAGUAACCAUGUGCUUGGGGCACAGUGAUGGUGAUGACCACAGAAUCAACACAAUAAGCUGUAGCAUUUGCAUCGUAGUCCAGUUCAUUCAAGCAAAGCUAUCUCCAAUAGGGAAUUUACCCUGUACAGAACAUGUGCAUUUUGAUUUCACCUUUUCUAACUGACCCUUUGCUCAUGACAAUAGUGAAAAAAUACAGCCCUGGGUGGAGAUUUAAGAUGCUAACGAGUCAUGAGAUGUAUGAACAUGCAUGUACAGCUACUGCACAUGUGCACCCAGAAGACCACCCAGAACAUGCUUACUAGUAACCCCUCUUCCCACCCACCUCCUAUGAAUAAUCAUGUAAGACUCCCAUAAAGGGAGUUUAUCCAGCAGUAAUCAAUGCUGUCUCAUCCAUAGGAACAGCCUGUCCUGAAUCCUCUCUCUCAGGGUAUACAGUUUAUUUUGCACUUAACUUUCAAAAUAGUAUUUUUCCUUUGUAAUAAAUUGCUUUGUACUUCUCCUUUGCUGCAUGUUUCUUAUUUAAAUUCUUUUAAAUGAAGAAGUCAAGAACCACAGUAUUACAACAGCCGUCAACAUUUCUGGUGCCAUGACUCAGACAGAGGUUUGUCUGCUUCAUUGGUUUCAAUUCCCCUUCACUCCUGGUGAGUCCUGUGGCAGCCCCAGACCCCUGAUUGACUAUCACUGCUUUCCCCAGAUCUAUUCUAUUAAGGUUUUGGGGGAGGACCUUUUAAAUCACUCACAUUAUUUGAGCAACUGAUUGUGAUUGCUUUCC
ensembl:lncRNA